CCGGGAGUGAGUGGGUGGGGGAGCGCAAGAUCCUUUUUCCUGCCCAUUUAACUCCCACCCAUCUGCUGGAAAAGUCAGAACCAUUGCACCGAGCAUCAAAGCAGCCCAUAAUUAAAAGCAUCAGACUCCAGCAAGCCUCUCCCCUCCCUGAGUCUGCGCUGGACUUUAUCCCGCAGGGUGGACAGGACAGAUUCUGGGCAAAACCUUCACCCAAGCCCCACCCCCAGCUGUGCUUCACCAUCCCAGAGCAGAGCCCCUUGCCUUGAGUGAGCCAGUUACAGUCCCACCACCUACGCGGAGGACCGAAGGGGGCAACUGAGGAAUCAAGAGGAAUACAGACCUUCUUCGAGCAGGGCUGUUCCAGUGCUGAGUUCUCGGGAUUGCCACUGUCUGCAGACUCUUUUUCAACCCCCAUCUUCAGACCAGUGACAGGAGGCUCAGCCUCUUCCAGCCCCAGAGAUGAGAUGGGGAGCUUUUGCUCUGGGUCAGCAUCUGGCACGAUGGUGAUGCGGAAGACCAGGCAGUUGAGGGCAUCCUCCUGCACCAGCCCUGCCCCUCGUCCUGCAGGACCAGAGGUCACCAUCCCUCCCAGUCCUCCUCCUGCUGUCCGUCAAGAUUCCACCUUAAGAAACUCAUUUGCCGGACGGAGCUCCAGUCUCCGAAGGAAGACCUGUGACCCACCUCCCAUAGUGGCCACUGAACCUGGGGCCAGGCGGGCCUAGACUCGACCUGCUGGGAAAUGGGAAUCCUCUGCCUGGAACUUGCUGGGCACUGCAGCAGAAAGAAAGACCAUCUGCAAUGAGAGGGAAGCCUUUUCUUCCUGAGGCUGCCAGGGCCACAGAGGCUGGGUGGAGCAGAAGGUGCCCACCACAAGCAGUUCUAGCCUCAGCCCCGCCGGAGACGGUGCCCACCACCGAAGCAACGAGCAGCACGAGCUCUGGCACAGGGUUUUUCAGGGGACGUGGGCAGACAUGCCAAUGAGACUUCAAGUUCCGCCUCGCAUCGAAAUGAGACAUUGGAGGCCCAGCCAGGCACAAACAGCUGAUAACAGCCUCUCAGACCUGGGCAAUCUGGAGCUAAUGCAGACCAGAGCAGCAGCGGUAAGUGUGCCCCCCCCCCCAGCAAAGUAGUGCCAGCUGCAGCACCAUUCCUGGGCACCCUUUGCCAGAGUGCACGUGCCUUGCCCAGGAACCGUGAGGGUUCCCCUUCCCAGAAAGUGCCAGAGACUCUCCUUUGCCACCGUGCCAACCCUGAGCCCUUGCUACCCCAGUCCAGGCUAAGGGCUGCUCUCAGUUCCAAGCCUGGGAGAACAGCGCUGUUCUCGGGGCUUCUCCCUGGAAGAAUGAAAGAUGGUGGGACAUUCAAACUGGAAUUUUCCACUUGGUUGUGGACAGAAAUCUGUGGGUGGAAACCGCUUUGGCUUAGUGCAAAUGCACCACAAAGGAGGCUGGUGCAUUAAGGGGCAUUUUGGUACCAGACAAGCAAACCUUUCCAGAUCGGCUGCAGGGAGAGUGGGGCAUUAAGCUUUUUUAAAAAAACUUACUCUGUUCCUUUGCAGCUCAGAAGGAGCAUCUGAACGGAGCCAACUUCCUUCCAAGAAAAUAUAACAAAGCAAAUCAAAAAAGUGUGUGCAAAUUAGGGCCUGGUUUGCAUAGGUUUUCAAUUUGAAUGCUCCUUCCCCUGAGACUCUGCAGCGUUUGCCUUUUGUUGGAAGUUCAGCAGUUGCUGUCCGUCACGGAGGGCAUAUUUUAAGGGGAGGCUGUCACAUGCAAAGAGCCUUUCUCUCCCCCCCCAGCUCUCCUUCCUUCCGCAGGAGGAACAAGGGAGCUUCUGAGCCUCAAGAAGGAACAGUGGUGAUCCUGCUUUAGGCCACGGGAUGCCUGGGGCAGCUCCUCCCUGGCAAGAGAGCCACUGUGAGGACAGACCCCAAAGGGAGAGGAGGCCAUCGUGAAGGGAGGCCCCCAGCUGCACCUGGAGAGGAAGUGGCCCAGCCAAAGCAGCAAUGGGGCAAGGCCGCCCUGGGGCAGAUGUGACCAGCGGAAGCGACCAGGGAGGCCCCAGGCUGGAGUUGAAGCAGGAAGCUGUGGUGGCCCAGCAGAGCAGAAGCUGCAACUUUGGUGAAAGAACAGGUGCUGCACAGAAACAACCUCUCCUCCUCCUCCUCGCCUUAAAGAAAGCUGACCCCAACCAAAGGCCAAACCCACUCCUGAUGAAAGGGCAAAUGUGAAUGCAAAAAGCAGCCGGCUGGAGCAAGCUCUCCUGUCCUAAGAAGUCCCACCAGCCUGACGUCAUGGGGCCCAGGGCAGCUGAAGCUCCUAGCAAAAUUCUGGCAGGCGAGCAGCGCUGGUUGGCUGGCUGGUCGGUUGGCUCUUCCGGCCUUUGCAUCUGUUUUCCUUUGUGAGAUUGGAAGGAUGCAGCCCACCUGGAGGGAUGAGUCAAGCAGGAGGGCCUGAUCGUCCCUCCCUGCCACGUUGGGAGAAGGCACCAAAUAUGUUCCACUGAGCAAGCGCUGCUCUUGUGAUGAAGGGGGAAGAUUUGAGAAACAGGCACCAUCUAUAAAUAGAGCUGGGUGGGCACAUGGGAAUUCCAGAGAGCCCAGACCUGAGCAACAGCUGCCUUCUGAAGAAGAUGGAGCUCUCCUCUCAGUCACUGCUAGGAAAAAUAUCCAGGGAUGGGGAGGAAUAAAGGAAACUAGGCUUUCUGGGAACAGAUGAGGCAGAGGCCUGCAGCAACCCUUGGCAGAAGAUUCCACGCUGGGUUUCCAGCACCUCAAGUUAUGGGGCCUCGCAGAGGAAGCAUCUUAACGUGAUAAGGAGCCCCAAGGGAGGCUGGAGAUGCCAGCCCAGAGGAACUGAAGAGAAGGCCUCUUCCACUGGUGCAAAAUGUGGGCAGAGCAGCCGUCCGAAGGCCCUGCGCUGCCCUGGAAAUGGAGUGAGGAAGGAGGAGGACUUCGGUGGAUGGGCUAAAGGAAUGCCCCGAGGCCUGCAAGGAAAGCCACAGGGAGGGGUAGAAGACGGAGGCAUCAAUUCAGAAGAACCUCCGCCAAGCAAGGUGGCAUUUCCAGGCUCUGCUCUUGUAAUGGCCUUGCCUUGCCCAGCCCUGGCCCCACCCUCCCCUCUAGCCUUGCACAGCGCCCCCCACAGAUUCCCCGAUGUGGCUCAGCAGAUGGAGUCAGCUCUCUUUCCAGCACUCUGCAGGCCCAUCUUCUGCAGGAGAAGCUGCCAACCCCUAGCCCAGCUUUCCCUCCAGUGCAAAUGGCUGCAUUUUCACAGGCUGCGCCCCCAGCCCCCUUCUUGUCUUGUGCAGAGUGGAGGGAGUCCCUCAGCCCAGCCGGCAAAGCAACUGCAUGACAUGCUCCAUCAUGUAGGACAAAUCAGACGCUCCCGCCAUAAAUCUACCACUAAAUCACUCUGUUGGCACAUCUCAUGCUGGGAAAGCCGAAAGAGGAAAUAAUCAGGCCUCAAGUUGCCGAUCAUCACGAUGGCUGCAGGAGCCUCUGCUGCCAGCCAGGUGUGGGCAGGGGCACCUCUGAAGGACCACAGCUGCUGAUCUGAGUCUUGCCUUGACCUCAGGGGCCAAGGGGCCCUUCAACCCCAGGUGGGCAAACAGGAUGCCAGUGCCCACACACCUCCCCCCAGGGCCCCUGAGCAAGUUUGUCCUCUCCCCAGUUCCCUGCUGCCAUUUCUCCCUACAGGCUUAGAAGCAGGUUGGAGAGGCUGCCUUAGGUGUCUUACAGAACUACAACUCCCAGGUGUAUAAUAACCUGUUACGGGACCACCACAAUGUGGCACAGAAGCAGCCUGGCAGAGCAGUUAGAUAGCUUUGAUCUCAGUUACUGUGCAGUUCUGCCACCCACCCAUGGCUGUGGAUUGAGGAAUUGUUCAGUAGGGCGGUGCAAUACUACACUUUCUGAUAAAUUAAGGGUAAUUAUGCUGGCCCUGGUUUAAAAGAAAAAAUGGGGGUGGGGGGAGGACCAAACUGUGAGCAUGUGCAGUGCAGUCUUUAAGCUUGAUGAAAUCAUCUCAGCUGUGGGAACCAAGGGAAGCAGCUUUCCCCUGUUCUGAGGUUAAGAAUGACAUCUUGAGAACCAGGCCCAGUUUGUUGUUGUAACAUUGAGUUUGAAGGGCAAUCAGGGUGCGAUUGUAGCCCUGCCUGCACAGCUCGGAGGGUGACUGAAGGCUUCUUUUCAAAGAUGGAAGCCAAGUGGGUAGGCAGACCUGGCCACUCUCCAGAUGGGCACCAGUGGCCCCUGCGUUCUCAGGGCUGGGUUCAGGGCCAGACCCCAGGAUUUGCUCCUUGCUGCAUCACUUGGCUUGGGUAGGGUCUAGGGUGCUGCUUUGUGAGUGCAUUAGCGGCUGGCACCCAGUUCUAGGAAGAGAAGCUAUGUGUGAAGAGGCAGCCCCGAUGUGGGUGAGGGUGGGCACUGGUUUCUAGCUGUGUUCUCGGAGGAGGCGGAAGCUGCCUGGCCCUGGGCCUCUCCAAGAGCACAAUUGCUGGUCCGGCACUCUCCCUCCCUGUCCAUCCCCCCCCCUCUGCUGAUCUGGGUGCCAAAACCUGAAGCUGAAGGGGGAGGGAAGAUUGAGGGGAUAAACCGCUUUUGUGGGGUGGGGGGAGAAGAGCCAGAAAGCCUGUAAGUGCAUUUGCAUACUCUGAGCUUAAUUCUCUGAGGGUAUGCAAAUAUAUGCAAACAGCAAUCCAGCGAGAGUCAGAAAUAGCAGAGAACAUUAAAAUCACCCUACUUGAAUAUUGUUUUAUGCAAACG